AACUAGAGGAUGUUCGCUGAUAAUCCUUUCAAUAUAGAGAUAAACAUGUGAUACUUUCCCUUUUUUGUUUUUUUCUUAUUCUUUGUAGAAAUAAAGGAGGGGGUCGUGGAAUUAUAGUAAAUACUUGCAGGAUAUUCUUCCCCUUCCCCUUCUUAGCUCUAGCCUUAUUUUCAGCAACUGAAGGCUUUUUAGCCACAAUCAACUUAUCAACUAGAUUUCUGGAUUCGACUACCUUCUCAUCAUCAACAAUCACUGGCUCCACGUCAUCUAUAAUAAUUGCGGGUACGAAUAUGUAUAUAAUGGAUGGGAAACCACGCCGGUACGAAUAUUAUAUAUUGGAUCGGGUACCAUGUCGGUACAGAUAUGCAUAUGUUGGAUCAGACACCACGCUGGUAUGGAUAUGUACAUGUUGGAUCGGGUACCACGCCGGUACGAAUAUAUGUAUGUUGGAUCGGGUACCACACCGGUAUGGAUAUGUAUAUGUUGGAUUGGAUAUGGCACCAGUACGGAUAUGUAUAUGAUGGAUCGGGUACCACGCCGGUAUGGAUAUGUAUAUGUUGGAUCGGGUAUUACGCCAGUACGAAUAUGUGUAUAUUGGAUCGGGUACCACAUCGGUACGGAUAUGUGUAUAAUUGAUCAGGUACCACGCCGGUAUGGAUAUGUAUAUGGUGGAUCAGGUACCACAUCAGUACGGUAUAUGAACAUAGAUUGUCCCCUGCAGGUCAUGACUAUUUGGGCCAAAAUAAGUCCCAUAGCAUGUGUGUACAUACUUGUGUUGAGUGUGUGGAUGUUUACAAUAUGGUUGGUACUCUUGAUGGUUAUGUGGUUUGUUUAUGACCGAUAUUUGAUCUGUUAUUACUGUAUUGUUGAUUAAUUAGAUAUUUGAUUGUGUGAUA